UAUCGAAUAUCCGCCAAACUUAACGUUUUCGUUUCGUAAAAAAUAAUAUAUUUUACAAAUGUACACUUACCGUAUUACGCCUGCGUGUAUUUUUCGAGGGGUUUUCAUGAUACUUGGGAGGGGGGGGAAAUGAAAAUGAAAAGGACGUAAAAUGAUAAAGAACGAAUUUACGGCGUACGAUUGCAUUACUUGGAUUCUUACGGAUUGUGUUUUCUACCAGAAAUCUUGCUUCAAUCAAAUAACCACUAAAAAACCUUUUUUUUUUUUUUUGUUGCAUUUUUAGUCUAUUUGCGUGUAAGUAGGAAGACAAGUCGUUUUUCGAUU